AGCGAACGCUGGCAGCAGGCCUAACACAUGCAAGUCGAACGGACCCUUCGGGGUUAGUGGCGGACGGGUGAGUAACACGUGGGAACGUGCCUUUUGGUUCGGAAUAGCUCCUGGAAACGGGUGGUAAUGCCGAAUGUGCCCUUUGGGGGAAAGAUUUAUCGCCAUUAGAGCGGCCCGCGUCUGAUUAGCUAGUUGGUGAGGUAAAGGCUCACCAAGGCGACGAUCAGUAGCUGGUCUGAGAGGAUGACCAGCCACAUUGGGACUGAGACACGGCCCAAACUCCUACGGGAGGCAGCAGUGGGGAAUCUUGCGCAAUGGGCGAAAGCCUGACGCAGCCAUGCCGCGUGAAUGAUGAAGGUCUUAGGAUUGUAAAAUUCUUUUACCAGGGACGAUAAUGACGGUACCUGGAGAAAAAGCCCCGGCUAACUUCGUGCCAGCCGCCGCUGUAACAC
rnacentral:rRNA from 1 species